CAAACUGAUCUUCCACCAAAAUUUUGUACCGUUCGCGGUGGUUUUGUGGUUUUUGAAAUAGGCCGCUCAAUUAGCAUCCGGGAUCGAUUCCCGACCCCGCGUCAAACCUAAGACGUCUUAACAUAGGUAAUAAUAAUCUCAAACAAGAUUCGUCGAGGCUGGAUAUUUGGACUGAUGAGGCGCCUCUUCUUAAUCUCGUACCAGUGUCAUACAAAGUGAUUCGGGAAAUCUUGCCGAAACUUCGGCCGCUUAAUGCAAUUAAAAUGGAUUAAAUUGAAUUUCUCAGUUAGUGAGAAAGUUUCCUAGUUUACUUUCGGUUGGUCGGUGGUCUCUUCCCAGGUACAUUGUAUCUGGGGUCUUUCUUCCACCAAUAAAAACUGGGAGCCACCAGAUAACUGAAAAAUUGUUGAGAGUGACGGAAAACAUCAAUCAAUCGGCGCCGCCACACGAUGUCACGCAUGACCGCCACUCUGAAUGAAGCGAUCUUAUAACUCUUGUAAAGUUCACGGUCUACAAGUUCGUAGGUUCAUUACUUCGACGACCCACAUGACCGAAGGUCCAGUAGUUCGAUUGCCUAUUAGGAACAAAAUGUAACAUGAAUGAAUUUAUAUGCAUAUUUUCAAUGUUUUAUUAUAUAUAUUUACCUGUCUCUGACAUUGUACUACCUUCUUUUAGUUGUUUAUUUACACGCAAGUCUUAUUUGACAGUUCAUGCAUACCCACGUGUUCAAUCAUCCAAACAAUCUUUAACUCUCGUAAACUUAAUUCUCAUUGGAUAAUUAUCCCGAAAUACAUAAUUUAACCUCUAUGGGUGGUACUAAAAUACAGGUAAAGUGCAUACCCUUAGUAUUAUAUUCAAUAUAUUCAAAGUUAUGAUUUUCUAUUGUCCCAAUUUAGUAUUUCCCAGAAUUUCGUUAGUCAGUUGGGGGACUUAGAAAGCAUUAACUUGCUGUAAGUAUCUCACUUUAGAUUCAGGCUUAUUAGGUAUGUAGCAGGUUGCACCAGUCCUUGUCUUUCUCUGAUGGUCCCUGCUAAAUUAUUGUAGACACCAAAACUAAUAGUUAGGAGUUAAAUAAAUACAUGAUUUAAAUAGGGUUUUAAUCAGACUGCAUUACAGCUGACUCAAGGUAUGAAAUACGGCAGAUAUUAACAUACUCGAAAAUAAGAUCAAACAUAAUUCAAAUGUAAAAGAACCUGGGAAAUAAUCAAAAUGUAGGUGCAUGUGACCAGUUAUAUAUCAAAAAGUGUCAAAAUGGUCAAACCCUCCUAUUACAAAAAGUGGUGUCGUUAGGUACCGAGGAUUUAAUUCUAUUACAAAAAGUAUUGUGAUAAGGUAUUUCCACCCUCCUGUGACGUCAUAAGAUUUUUGCAAAGUCAAUGAUUUAAUAAGAUUUAUGCAUGACAGGAACAUAAAUUUUGUUGGAGUCUUUUUCAAUAGUCAUUGUAAAAAAGCUUGUUAACCAUAAAAUAUUUCAAAAGUCUAAGUUAUAUAUGAAUAAUCAAUUAUAUGUUUCAAAAUAUUGAAUCCAAGGGCAAUAACUUUGUUUUUAUUAAAUUAUUUAUCAAUUCCAUUAUGCGAUAGAUUUCCUUUAUUUUUACACAAAUAUUUUGUAAAUGUUUUCAAGAAACAGUUUUAUGAAUACUAUUAUAUUGUUACAAAACUAGAUUUUCUGAAAUUGUUAUGAUGCUGUUUAGAAAAAUUGCAAUUUUCUGACGUUAAAAACAGGUAUAUUGUGCUAAUUGAUUUUUUUUUUUUUGUUAAUACCGCAACAUAUUUUAUCAUUUUUAUUUGUUACUAAGAUAUAUCAUUUGAAGAAUCAACAAUCAAAUAUGAGAUUGAGGCUAUAAUUCUAGACGGGUGGAAUUACCAUAAAGGCCCAUUGGAACAUCUUGGUUUCGUUAAAUUCUAGAUUUCGGAAUAGUGGACUUUCUACUGAGUGAAGCUUUCAAAAAGGUGAUGGUAACGAAUCCUAAAUCCUGUAAAGAAGCUGGACAAAACUGUUAGAUGUUCAGACUAGUGGACCUUCGGAUUAGUGGGUGGUCACCUUUGUGAAUAGUUUUGUUUGUUUAAGUACCUUGGAGAAAUUUUCGCGGAUUGAAAGAAGAUUUGUAGGUGAAAUAUCACAAAUUUAGACCUAUGUUUAACACUCAGGGCUGUAGUAGUGAGUGUUCUUAAACGUACCAACGCCUGUCGCGAAACGAGACCUCCGUUUUUUAGGUCAUAUUUGAAAGACCCGUGAUUCUCACUUCUAAAUGUCCUGUGGAGAUCCGGGUUAGAAUAGUUCCUCAGUACCCCUUGCUUGUCGUAAGAGGUGACUAAAUGGGGCGGUCCUUCGGAUGAGACCGUAAACACCGAGGUCCCGUGUCACAGCAGGUGUGACACGAUAAAGAUCCCUCCCUGCUCAAAGGCCGUAAGCGCCGAGUAUAGGCCUAAAUUUUGCAGCCCUUCACCGGCAAUGGUGACGUCUCCAUAUGAGUGAAGUAUUUUCGAGAGGGACGUUACACAAUCAAUCAAUCACUUCUAAAUGCCAAGAGUUUGGCGAAGGAGCAAUCACUACUUAAAGAGGGUGUUGCACCGAAGCGGGAACUUCCCCUAAUCGGAGUUCCGUGCCAGCACUCGUGACGUAGAAUGACCCUCAUCCAUAUUUAUAUGCAGUUUAAAUAUAUGUGUACUUGUAGAAUAAGAUGAUAUGUAUUCCAGUAGCAAAUUGCUAUGGCGAAUCAAUGUUUUCAGGUGUAUAUAUUUUGUAGUCAGAGUCAUGUACAGAUGUUUGUUGAAAAUAAUACAUACUAGUAUAAAGGUUUUAGGCUGUAGUAGCAUAGACUAUUAAAUAUCUGCAUACUCAGAAGAAAAGAAAGACAAUUUAAUGUUCAUGAUUUCAAACAUGGUGUGACCGGUCGACAGGAUUUGCUUACUCCUGCUAGCCACCUGAUCCCACCUCUGGUAUAUCCAGUGAUCUGCGUUUGCCUAACUCUCUAUUUUGUAUUGCUUAUAGGAGUUAUGAGAUUGAUCACUGUUCGUCAUCUUCAUCUUUCAUUAUGUCUAGACUACAUGUAUAAUGUUUUGACACUUAAAUGUAUUCAGGUUGACAGACGUCAAACUUGGUACAUCUUAAGGAGUAGAUGACCCCUAUUGAUUUCGAGGUCACAUGGUCAAGGGUCAAACUGGACAUAAGAAUAUACUGACCACUCGGUGUUUAGAGAACCCUUGAUAGACAUGAAACUUGGUACACUGUACUUCAGGAGAAGAUUACCCCUACUGAAUUUGAGGUAACAUGGUCAAGGGUCACACUGGACAUAGGAACAUAUUGUCCAUUCAUUAUCUUGAAAACCCUUUGCUUAACAGACAUCAAACUUGGUACACUGGUACAUGUUCGGGAAAUGACCCCGAUUGAUUUUGAGGUCACAUGGUCAACGAUCAAGGGUUAAACUGGACAUAGUAAUGUAUUGUUUUCUAUAUUUUAAGAAUUGAUUGCUUGAUUGACACCUAACUUGGUACACUGGUACAACAUAAGGAGUAGAUGACCCCUAUUGGUUUUUAGGUCACUUGGUCAAUCCACUCUUGACAUAGGAAGAUUUUGUCUGCUCAAUAUUUUGAAUUGGUGAUACUACUAUCAAUUACAUGAUGCAUGUGUAUAGUCCUUUCCAAUUUUGCACGAAGGGGGGGGGGGGCAUAUAUAGUUUUCAAACAUCUCUUGUUGUGUCUGGAUCACACUGCAUCCCGUGGGGAUCCGGGUUAGAAUAGGUCCUCAGUACCCCUUACUUGUCGUAAGAAGCGACUAAAUGGGGCGGCCCUUCGGGUGAGACUGCAAAAACCGAGGCCUCGUGUCACAGCAGGUGUGGCAAAAUAAAGUUCCAACCCUGCUCAAAGGCCGUAAGCACCGAGCAUAGGCCUAAAUUUUACAGCCCGUCGCCGCUAAUGGUGACGUCUCUAUAUGAGUGAAAGAUUUUCGAGAGGGACGUUAAACAAUAUACAAUCAAUCAAUCACACUGUACAUAUGACCUUGAAGGAAGGACAUUUGCCCAGUGAACGUCGUGGUCAAAACAGUAAUGUAGAAGCCCAUUUUGCCACAAAGUUUCUUUAAGGAAUCACCGUAUAGUUUGUUCGGUACCUGAGGUUAUUAACUACAAAUGGAAAAUGUGAUAUUAACUUGUAUAACGACUACCACGCGUAUCAUUGUAGUUAGAAUACAGAUACCAUUAAACUAGACUGAUUCCUUGUAUGAAAACAUAAAAUCAGCAUGUCCAAAAUAUACCCCGAUACUCCUAGGCACCAGAUCCCAUAUCUGGUAUAUCCAGGGGUCCAUGUUUGCCCAACUCUCUAUUUUGUAUUCCUUAAAGAAGUAAUGAGAUUGAUCACUGUUCCUUAUCUUCACCUUUCAUAUUGAAAUGCACUGGACAUUCCAAGUUGAUUUCCCCAUUCAUUUGCAUGAACUGAGAAAUUUAAAUUUGUAACUUGUAGAAAAAUUAACACAUUGGCACUUCAAAGGGAUAUCACAGAGAAAACAGAUGAAAGUGUAAAUAUUUUUGAACAAGCAGUGUGUUAUGAACCAUGGUCAUGAUCUCUAACUUGCCCCAUCUCGGGGGUAUCUAUUAAAAAUUGUAGGUGUUAUGUUCAUUUUAUAUACACACCUAAUUCUGGAGUCAACACAAUAUUAAAAAGCCCAUGCAGUAUACCAGGGAUCCCCCUAAGCUAUUGUACAUUCAUUACACGUGAAUUACAUUUUCAGUGGGUUUUGUUUUCAGAAAAGAAAAGGUCACAUCGAAGAUAUUGCACUUCAGACUUCUCGUUCUUGUAUCAAUACACGUGGAGUAGUAAGUAGGUUGGGCAAGCUGAUGACGUUUUAAUUAAAUGGAAAAAAAACCCACUAUUGACGUCGAAUCCUAUAUCCAAUAUUUUUGAAGUUUCAUUCUAAUACACCGUAUACAACACCACAUUUCGGGGUGCGGAAUUGUGACCUUAGGGGGUACGGAAUUCGAAGCGUGUUGAGAUAUUUAGCUUGGUUACAGCUAUAGAGAUAAAACUAGUCUUAUAUUAACAUACGACGGAACACAGUGAUGUCCCCGCUUACUCUUACUUGUUUCCCACCUUGCAGUUUGUGCUAGAAAUAGGUGAACACUUCAACAAUAUUCGGCAACUACACGGAAGGAUGUAAAUUUGAUCAAUAUUUGGCAAAAUUUUCAAUUAUGCUGCCACUCCACAUAAUAUAACUAAUGCGCAUGGUUUCUGCACAUAACGCUGUAGCAGAUACUUCCAUGAUUUCCGAAAUUUCACGUCAAAUAAACGGUGAAAACUUCAAUUUUAGUGUGUGCCACUAGGGGGUACAGAUUUCGGUGGAGGUAGGGGGCAAUGAACCAAUCGUAAUGUGAUGAGUUUAAGAAAGUGUGAUUUGGAUUUGAGAUUGAUAUCAAAUCAUCUUUGCGAUGUAGUCAUUCUUUGAUUUGAAAUGUCGCUUGUAUAUAAAAGGCAGUGGGUACAUUAACAUUUCUGAUCAGAGAAUUAGUUGCUAUGUUCUUAUAUCAUCAAGAUGUUCAAAAAUCGGUUUUCAAAACUGACGUCAUCUAAGAAGAAGGAAAUUGUUUUGGGUUACGAUUAUUGUGUCGUUGUCACGGAAAAGAUAUUUCACUGUAUUUACAUGUUAAAAGAUUUGAUAUAUGUAAAUGAGAAUAUCAACGAGUAGCAAACUUUACUGAUUAAAAUUUACUUUGUUGUUUGUGAUAUUCAGACUUGGAAUUUAAUUUAGACUGUCAGUUCAAUUAUAUUUGAUUUUACUAGUAACUGCAGGGUGAUGGCAUGAAGAAAAAGCAAACUCUGUUUACACCUGCCGAAAAGAAAGUUACAACAUACACGUACACCAAAUUAAAAAAAAAAAAAAAAAAAAAGGCUUCAGUGGGCAAUACAACCAAAAUUUGCAAUCAACAAAAUGGGAAUGGGCACUCGUCUUUAUACAACUGAAAAAGAUGUAGAGUGUUUGCACCAAAAGCCAGUCACAGUUUGCAUGGAAUACAUAUUUCUAAUAAUACAUAUCUCCUGUGACGUCAUAACAUUUCGCAAAGUCAAUGAUUUAAUACGAUUUAUGCAUGACAGGAACAUAAAUUUUGUUGGAGUCUUUUUUAAAUGGUUAUUGUAAAAAAUCUUGUUAACCAUAAAAUAUUUCAAAGGUGUAAGUUAUAUUAAUAAUCAAUUAUAUCUUUCAAAAUAUUGAAUCCAAGGGCAAUAACCCUGUUUUCAUUGAAUUAUUUAUCAAGUCCAUUAUGCGAUAAAUUUCUUCUUCUUUUUUCACAAACAUUUUGUAUAUUGUUUAAUGAAACAGUUUCAUUAAAUUGUUAUGAAUACUAUUAUAUCUUUUAACCAGUUUUUGUGAAAUUUUGAUAAUACUGUUUAAUGAAAAUUGCAAUUUCCUGACGUUGAUAACAGAUAUAUGUGUACUUAUUAAUAAAAAAUUAUUAAUACCGCAACAUACUUAUUUUAUCACUUUUAUUUGUUACUAAGAUACAUUAUUUGAAAAAUGAACAAUCAAAUAUAAGAGGGGUGAAUUACCUUAACCCCUUCUCUACCGUACCGGUCAAUUUGACCGGUGGCGCGUAAAAACGGGACAGCGCAAAAGGAGUGCCUCUAAAUCUUUCAAACUACGGUCAUAAGAUAUAUGAUCUAUAUAUCAUAUUUUUGGAAAUUUUCUCUAUUUUUUAACUAUGUAAAAAUCAGUUAAGUAAAUAAAGCUAUUAAAUUAAUAAAAGCAUUUAAAGCGAAAGAUGGCUUCGUCUAAAUAUGACGCAACACUUUGUCGCAAGGCCAUUUUCCCCCUCGAUACGAUUUUUUUAAUCUCCCGUAUGAAUACACUAUUUUUUUUUUAUAUUUUUGAAAAGCAUAUAUUCCCUGCUUUCAGAACAUAUAAAAAUUAUUUCUAAUGCCUGGCAAAGUUACAAGAAAAUAGCUAUUUUUUGCACAUGUACGCUUUCUUACAAUUUUAUUUCUCAAUGUUUAAACAGAUCGGCGUUUUACCAAUAUUCAUAUAUGGAAAUAGGGAAAAGUAAAUACAGCCUGUAAAAGUACAGGAAAUUUUCUUUUUGAUGGGCCCUUAUUCGUGUUGUAAUUCUUGUUAGUUUUUAUAUUACGAUAAAAUGAAAUUGGGACAUGCUGCGCGGUUUUCUUUAAAAUUAGCGAUAAAACGUCGGUGCUGAAAGCGAUCGACGCGCAUCGCACAAUAAAGUAGUGAAAACUAUUUGUAUUGUCCUCUGUUGGUAAUAUGAGUACUUUUUGAUACACUAAAACAAUAUACAUAUAUGUAUGAAAUAAUCAGCCAGGUAUUCUCUGCUUUAAAAAAAAAAAGAAGUAUAAAAACCAUUAUUGGUAAAUAACAGUUACACCACCUACUUGUAUUGUAACUUCAUAAAACAUCUAAUGAGAAUGUUACGUCGGUAGAGUGAAUAAAUAAAUACUUCAAAUUCAGAUAUAAACGUUAUGUAAUAUUUAUUCGGUAUAGAAAUAAUUUUUUUCUGCCAAACAAAGAAAACAAAAAGACCAGUCUGCAUAUUGUAUAUAUAAUACUUAGAAAACACAAUCUGUUAGGAAAGCAUAUAUUGCAUUAUUGUAUUAUCGUAAUAAUAGAAUUUACUACCGUAAUUUGAGGUUUUUCUUCAUAUUGUAACAGAAAUAAAAACAAAAUGUGUGUUUGGGACAAAAGGUGUGGGGGGGGGGGGGGGGGUAACAUCAAUCAAAAUCUGGUUAUGACAGGCUAUUGAAAAAGCAUUUAAUUAUAUGAUCCAUACAUGCUGGUGUGCUAUGAGCUGAUGGGCAUGUGCCCACUUCUUGCUUAGAUUUUCUCUAAUUUCGAGUAAAUCCACACCCCAUCAGAGUAGUACCAUGCCAGGGGAUUUAGACACUGUGUACAAUGAAGAACCAAUUCAAUUCUACUUUAAAUCUGGGGCCAUUCAAUUUCCCUCAGAGGCACAAUAUUUUCGCUGGACACUGUAUAUUUUAAUCUGAAUUUCUUCAGUAUUUGCUCCCAUUGUAUAUGUUGGGCAUAAUGCUAACACCUCCAUGAUGUAUAGUGGGUUUUUUUCAAUACGCACUCUGCUACACUCGCAAAGAAUAAUAAAAUAUUCCAUUCAUUUGAUUUCUAACAUAUGUAUGUAAAACUUAUACGGUACCAAUUUUGAUGCACCAGAUGCGCAUUUCGACAAAUAAUGUCUCUUCAGUGAUGCUCAACCGAAAUCUUUGAAAUCCGAAAUAACUAUGUAUGUAAUCCUUUACCAAAUAGCACUUCAAAUAUAGGACAUCUCUAUCUUUAAAUAAAUAUGAUCAGUACUUUCGUGCGAAACCGUCCCUUACUAUCAUGAAGUUUAUAUUCUGCUUUAAAACACAAACCAAUAAUUCUUAAUUGUAUUUUUUCAUCUUUAAAAAGGUUAUUGACAUCCCAAUAUUUAGUGGGAAGCUUCCGGGUAUCUUCCACUAGUGACAGUCUACUGGCAAAUCCAGACAUGCAUUGGAAGUAUGUUGAUGUGGAGUACAAAGGGACACCUGAUCCAAGAACUGUGGCAUUUCAUUCGGAGUGACAACCUGGCAUGCAGUUGAUAUGGGACCUGAUUAUUCAGAGAAUUGCAGAUUUUAUGAAGCUGUUUUUUGACAGAAGAUUUGGUUUUCUCCAUCUGUGUUGCCACCAACCAUUAUGCUGUGAUGGUCAUAUCUAGGGGGAAGGAUUGUCAUAUGCUUCCCAAGGAAGUUCGAAGCCUCUCACUGAAGAGGAACUGUACAGAUUUUUUGGGCAUUAUCUUAUACAUGUCUGCUGAGAAGUUCCAGUCGAUAGACAGAUAUUGGUCAACGCACGCCCCUAUCGGAACAACCUAGUAUCAAGAAUUAUGUCUAGAAAUAUGUUUUAAGAGGUUGAAUAUAAGAAGAACAAUUUUUAUUAAAUAUAAUGCAAGUACAUUUAAAUUUAGUGAUUGAAAGUAAGUACUUGAACAUUCGUAUACAUGUACAAUGAACUUGGGGAGGAAAAACGGGCAUUAUUUUCUCAUAGCAUUUGAUAUCAUAAUGGUGUUGUUGCCUAGCAACCAAAUAUAUUUGAGUAUAAAAAAUUGAUUUUUUUUAGAUUUUGUUUUAAUGUUGCAAUAUUUAUACUAUUUAGUGGGAUACAAUGGCAAAACGUCAUAUUAUUAGAAAAUGAUGAAUAUGUAUAUGAAGUACGAAAUUUUCAUUUUAUGACCUUUGACCUUAAUUCUCUUCAUUAUAUUUUUUGUUAAAAACCUUUUAAAAUGAUUAAGAUCUAGUCAAAGAUUAUAUUUUUAAAAUAGUGUGACAUUUACUAAUCAUCAUGCAAUGUAAUUAUGUUUGAAUUGUGUCGAAUGGAUGUAGAAAGGCAAAUUAUGGUCGAAAUUACACCAUGAGUGUUGUUACUUAGCAACCAAAAAUAUUUGUUUGUCAAUAAAAUUGAUUAAUUUGA